UUCAGCGCCACCUCCUCUCAUCCCUGGCGCCGCCUCCUCUCAUCCCUAGCGCUGCCCCUGCUCUUAAGCCUGCAACCCCAAUCGGCGGACCUUUCCAUCCACGAGAGCUACUGCCAGCACCGUAGAGGGAGGAUCGGCUGCUUCCUGGUGGUGCUCUACUGGACGCAGGGGGCAAGGAGGCAAUUAAGAGGGCAGCAGAGAAAGGGGAGGGCAGGAGAAGGUUCCUGUGAAUAAGUGUUGGCCCCACUUAUUCGGCUUUACCGGUAAAUGCAAAGGAAGUUUCAGAUGACGUCCGAUUUAGACGGAAACUACUGUUUCAUUGGUUAUGAAUUUUCUGUUGUUCUUAUACUUGCAGUUGUUCUUCUGGUUCUAAGUUGUGCUUGCUGAGUAUUUUUACUCACUCUUGUGUUUAUUUGACUUUUAGGUACUCGUUGAUUAAGUUUGCAUGGGAUGGCUACUACUUCAUGAUGAGCAAGCACACAUUCUCUUGCGAUUCAUUAAACAAAUCUCUAGGCUGAAUAAAUCUUUGAUAUUGAGAACUGUCGCGUGUGGUCGUUUGGUUGUCGCUUAAAUUUAUUCGUUCGUGUUAGUCGAUGUGGAGUUCUUGAUAAUAUUUAUUUAUGCCACCUUGUGCUUAUAUGACCUGUGUGCCCGUGGAUGUUAGGAUUUACAGGGGAAACUCUAUCAAAAUUUACUAGAAUUUUUAUAUUUAGCGUAAUUUAGUGCCUUUAGUAGUAACCUCCAGGUAUGUCGUUACUUGGGGCGUUACAAAAAAGGAGUCAAAAAUGCUGCGAAUGUAACAGUAUUGAGACUAUCAAACAUCUCUUUCUGGAUUGUCCUUAUGCGAGAAUGGUUUGGAGGGUAAUCUUUUUUGCUACUGGUUUAUCUCAACCUAUUUCUGUUCGCCAUAUGUUUGGUUCCAGGCUUUCUAAUAAGAAUAAAAGGAUUAGAAAUUUUAUUUGGGUUAGGGUCGCUGCUGUCUGCUGGACUAUUUGGCACUGUAGAAAUGAUAUUAUUUUUAAUAAAAUCAAAGUUAACUCGAUUUUGCAGGUCAUCUUCAGGGGAACGUACUGGUUACGUUUCUAGUCGCAGCUGUAGCGUGAUCAGCAAGCCAAGAACACACUCUCCUCGUUGAGCAAGAACAUAGAGAUGAUUGCUUUGGAGCUUGCUAAUGGAGGGUGGAAGCACAUUUAUCUUUUGCUUUAGUUCUUGUUUGUUUGUAGACUGGUUUUGCUCUUUUGUGUUUGGAACUAUCUGUAAUAAUUGGGCUGUGUAUGUCUUUGGUCGUUGAGACCAGAUGUCUCAUCCUUUAUCUAUAAAAAAAAUUACUGCAAUGAUAGCUAAAUACCUUGUGAAUA